AUACGUAGGUGGCGAGCGUUGUCCGGAAUUACUGGGUGUAAAGGGCGUGUAGGCGGGGCGUCAAGUCAGGUGUGAAAUUCCGAGGCUUAACUUCGGGUGUGCAUCUGAAACUGAUGUUCUUGAGUGUCGGAGAGGAAAGUGGAAUUCCCAGUGUAGCGGUGAAAUGCGUAGAGAUUGGGAGGAACACCAGUGGCGAAGGCGGCUUUCUGGACGAUAACUGACGCUGAGGCGCGAAAGCGUGGGUAGCAAACAGGAUUAGAUACCCUGGUAGUCCACGCCGUAAACGAUGGAUACUAGGUGUAGGAGGUAUCGACCCCUUCUGUGCCGGAGUUAACACAAUAAGUAUCCCACCUGGGGAGUACGGCCGCAAGGCUGAA
rnacentral:rRNA from 1 species